AAAUUGAAGAGUUUGAUCAUGGCUCAGAUUGAACGCUGGCGGCAGGCCUAACACAUGCAAGUCGAACGGUAACAGGAAGCAGCUUGCUGCUUCGCUGACGAGUGGCGGACGGGUGAGUAAUGUCUGGGAAACUGCCUGAUGGAGGGGGAUAACUACUGGAAACGGUAGCUAAUACCGCAUAACGUCGCAAGACCAAAGAG
rnacentral:rRNA from 2 species